UUCAUUUUCCUGAAUUUUGAACUUCCUACACACGGGAUUGUAAGUGUGUGCCUCUCUGCGUCUGGUUUGUUUCACUCGACCUUGUUUGUGAGACUUGCUCCCGUCGUACUGCCUGUAUUUAGCUCAUUCUACAUUCCUGACUAUGUGGCUCGCCCUUUUCAAGGUUGUGCGUGUCAGGGCAUAAAUCUGGGCACUGCAGGAAACAACGCCUUAAGGAUAUUCCUGCGCGUGUCCUUUGUACACAGCGUGUUAUGAAUUUCUGUUGUAUACACAAUGGUUAAUGGAGAAAUUCGAGAGUGGACUGUAGAGAUGUGGGGACCCUGUUGGAGUGGUCUAAGAAUGGAGGGGGCUGUGGCUUGGGUGAAGGAUGAGCGUACUCACCCCAAACCAGUGGGUCCUAGAGCUACUUGGAAGCAUUGUUAGGAUUUAAUGAUUGGAUCCAUGGGACGAGUGAGGGGUAAAGGUCAAUAAAACCUUCAAGGUGUCUGACUUGUUGACAUGGAAAUGGACUUCUCAUUCACCAUCAUCAAGCCACACUGGUCUACUGACCUGGAGACUGGAUGUGUAUGCUUGCAAAGCUCCUUCCAGUGCUAUGAGAAUUGGUCCUCAGGGAAGAGGAUUCCAGCCCAGUUCCAGCUCAAUUCCACUUUUUCUGUCUGAAGUGUGUAAUAUCUUCAACCACAGGAUCCUACCUUCAAUUUCUGGAGCUUUGGCUUCAGGUAUGUCCAUGCACCACAUGCAUGCCUGGUGCCUGCAGAGACCAGAACGCAGAGUCAGAUCUUCUGGAACUGGAGUUAUCAGGUUGUUGUUAGCCACCAUUUGGCUGCUGGGAUUUGAACACAGGAUCAUUCAUUUGCUGGAUCAAUGAGGUACUGGUCAAAAAACACCAGAGAAAAAUGGGAGUGCUUGUUCAUGAAGAUUGAAAUGGACUAUUGUGCUAAGUGGUUAGCAGUUCCACUGUUAGAUAUUGUAGAUAUUCUCAAUGUAAUGCUAUGAGCAACUGGACAAUCACAGUCUAUUAAACCAGGAGUCAAACUUACUUACUUUCUGGGAAUUUGCUGUUCUCUUUACAGAGAAAUUGACCUUGAUUAUCUGUUAUUUGCUUAGAUUACUUGUAAUCCACAAGGUGUAGUGAGUUAUUUGGUACCCAGAUGCAAAUAAGCCGUUCUCAAAAGGUCUGUUUUCCUGAUGGAGGCUUCGCCGCUUCCAGGCACCCUCAAGACAUGGCUUCCUAAUAUCACAAAGGGGACAAGGCAUGGACUGGAAGCAACUGAGAGUGGAAACUGAGAAAAGAACAGGUGAGAGAGAUUUGUUCUGACUUAGGGCCAGGCAGGAUACAGGAAAACUUAUAGCUACAAAUGAGCUUGGUUUCCUUCUAAUUUUGAAACUUUAUGUAGCAGUCUCAGAAAACACUCAGAGCUGGAGGACUUAGCUAAGUGGUACCUGGAAGCAUGACCAAGAGAAACUGAGAGAUAAUGCAUGUUGUUUCAAGCCACUGACGUUUUUUGGAGGUUGUUUGUUAUGCAAUGAGAGAUAGCUGAAACAGGUGAUAAACUGUAUCAUAUUGUGUUUAAUUUUUGGGCUUAUUUAUUUACCUUUAAGUAACUUUAUUCUUUCAUGGAUUUGCUCUUGAUGUUUCUUUUGCUUGAAAAUUUUUAGAUAAUAUUUGCCCUUCCAGACACAUCUCAGCUGUUGCUCCAGGAAGAUGAUUUGAACAUUGGACUGGGUACUCAACUCUGCACACGUCACAUUAGCGCCUUGUAGUGGGUAGCCAUUCCAGCUUGGAUCUGGAAGCUCCAACCCCCAUUGAGACUCUGGCAACU